rnacentral:rRNA from 1 species
CGAACCGUGCAAACGUUGUUCGGAAUCACUGGGCUUAAAGGGCGCGUAGGCGGGUUCCCAAGUCGGUGGUGAAAUCUUUCGGCCCACCGGAAAAGUGCCGCCGAUACUGGGAGUCUUGAGGGAGGUAGGGGUCGAGGGAACUGGUGGUGGAGCGGUGAAAUGCGUAGAUAUCACUAGGAACGCCGGUGGCGAAAGCGCUCGACUGGACCUCUUCUGACGCUGAGGCGCGAAAGCCAGGGGAGCAAACGGGAUUAGAUACCCCGGUAGUCCUGGCCCUAAACGAUGGGUACCAGACUGUGGACUUGACAUGGGUUCACAGUCGAGGCAAAAGUGUUAAGUACCCCGCCUGGGGAGUAUGGUCGCAAGGCUG